CCGGCACGGGUGAGUAACACGUAUGCAAUCCACCUGUAACAGGGGAUAACCCGGAGAAAUCCGGACUAAUACCCCAUAAUAUGGGCGCUCCGCAUGGAGAGCCCAUUAAAGAGAGCAAUUUUGGUUACAGACGAGCAUGCGCUCCAUUAGCAGUUGCGGGUAACGGCCCACCAAAGCGACGAUGGAUAGGGGUUCUGAGAGGAAGGUCCCCCACAUUGGAACUGAGACACGGUCCAA
rnacentral:rRNA from 1 species